rnacentral:lncRNA from 1 species
AUGGGGUCUUACAUGAAUCUCAAGCAGUUUAAAAAGAAAUUAUAAAAAUCACCGAGUAGGCCGGGUUCAGUAACUAUUUUUAAUAAAAGUAUAAUUUUUUCUUUGAGACAGGGUCUUGCUGUGUCACCUGGCCUGGAGUGCAGUGGCAUAAUUAUGACUCACUGCAGCCUUGACCUCCGGGCUCAAGCAAUCCUCCCAUGUCAGCCUUCCAAGUAACUGGGGACUGCAGGCAUGCACCAUCACACCUGGCUAAUUAUUUUUUGUAGAGACAAGGUUUCACGAUAUUGUCCAAGCUGGUCUCAAACUCCUGGGCUCAAGUGAUCCAUCCAGCUUGGCCUCCAAAAGUGCUGGGACAACAGGGCAUGAGCCACCAUGCCCGGCCUAAUAAAAGUAUAAUUUCUUAGUAAAACUUAAUAGAUUUUUGAAAAUGUGUGUUUGUGUUUAGUGGGAGGUUUUUUCCCCACUAAACACAGACAUGCAUUUUUUAAAAAUUGUUUAUGUAAAGUACAGAAAGUAGUUAUUGUGCAAUUAUUAUAACCUCUAUCUUCAAAUAUUAUCUUGGAGAGUCAUCUGAGGCCUUGGAAGAAUGAGAGACUGACCAACAUACUUAGAUAAUAAGAAUCAAAACUCGCAAUGAUGGGUAAGCAUUUUUCUGGAGAAAAAGAAAAAUGGAAGUAAAAACUCACAAUGGCCAACCAAAAGUCAGGAGUCCUGUGUGUCUCAAUCUGUAGGUCAAGAGCCAAAUAGAAUAGAAUUAGCUGCUGUGCUUAAUAAAAAUUAAGACUCUCCAAAGGCUGACCCAGAAAGACUGAAGCAGAAUUUCUGGGAGCGUUCUCAAACCAAUGAACAUCUGUCUGAGCCAGUUUCCUCAUCUAUAAAAAAAGGAAUGAUGAAAAUGCUUUGUAGGGGAAAUACGGGAAUAGGAUGCAUCUGCAGAUCUGAGCUCCUUCUGGCUUCAACUAACACCAAGGGACCCAAAGAUGUCUACACCCAAGUGGGGCUGACUGCAAACACUUCCACCAUGGAAUGGUAGAACUAUGUUCAGGAGCUGUCAUGCUGAUAACCCGACCCAGAAUUCCCUAAGUCCUGAACUAUUUGCCACUACUAAUAGUAUGAGUAGAUUUCUAGUAUUAUGGACACCUCCUGGUAGCAAACAGUCCAGUUAAUUAAUGUGCA